UGGAGUCCAGGAAUCUGCAUUUU
rnacentral:miRNA from 4 species